rnacentral:lncRNA from 1 species
GCCCUCUUCUGGUGUGUCUUAAAAAAUCUUAAAAAAAGAGCACUGCUGAUCUUGCAGAGGAUCCGGCUCAGUUCCCAGCACCCACAGGGCAGCUCACAACUGUCUGUAAAUGUAGUGUCAGGGGAUCUCGAGACCUCAUAGCGCACACAAACAUACAUCAUGCAGGCAAAGCACUCAUACAUAAAAUAAUAAAACUUAAGUGCUGGGGUGGAGGGCUGGCCAUCCCUGGGGCUGGACACCUGUUAAGGGUUCAGAAAAGACAGGCCAAGUGCCUGGGUGCUGGCCCCAGUCGAUGGCAUGGCCACACCUGGCAUACGGGCAGAGGGUGGCAAUUUGCCUGAGUCCAGCACCCAGCGACUCUGGAGAGAGUGUGGUCACUGUCUGCACACUGCCCCAGGAAGCAUCUUUAAGAGGUGAGUAUACCCAGCGUCUGUGUGUGGAUGCAGGCGGGUCUUAACCUUGCUUGGCCCUCUUAUUCCUGUUUUUGUGUGGAUGAAAUCAAGCCAGCCGCUCUUCCCUCGGCCUGAGAAUCCUGCUUCCACCCUCCUCUGGGCCUCACCUCCCUCCUCUUUGUAGGGAAGACAGCUUUACUUCACGCCCUGGCCAGCAGCGAUGGUGUGCAGAUCCACAACACAGAAAACAUCCGGCUCCUCCUGGAGGGAGGGGCAGACGUCAAGGCCAC